UACAGAGGUCCCAAGCGUUGUUCGGAUUCACUGGGCGUAAAGGGUGCGUAGGCGGUCGGGUAAGUCUGACGUGAAAUCUCCAAGCUCAACUUGGAAAUGGCGUCGGAUACUAUUCGGCUCGAGGAAUGGAGGGGAGACUGGAAUUCUCGGUGUAGCAGUGAAAUGCGUAGAUAUCGAGAGGAACACCGGUGGCGAAAGCGCUCAUCUGGCCCAAUACUGACGCUGAGGCGCGAAAGCUAGGGGAGCAAACGGG
rnacentral:rRNA from 1 species